AACUAAGUGAAUAUAACACUCUACAGUGGAUCACUUGGCUCGGGGGUCGAUGAAGAACGCAGCUAACUGCGCGUCGGAAUGUGAACUGCAGGACAUGUGAGCAUCGACCUUUUGAACGCAUAUGGCGGAGUUAAAGUCCUUCUUUAACUCCAUGUUUUGCUCAGGGUCGUUUAACAUCCAUCCCUCUUGGGUUUCCAAGAGAGGCAUUGAGGUUUUGCAAUGCGUCCAGCAGUGCAUGCCUUUAAGUUGCAACUGCCUGUUAAACCAGAGGCUCUAGUGACUCUUGGGAUUCGUCCUGGGUUGCUUUGCUGACAGUUGGGCAGUGGUGAGUGCCAGACUAAGGCACCUACCAGCUACUUUACUUUUGACCUGAGAUAAAGCAAGAUUACCCGCCGAAUUUAAGCAUAUUAAUAAGCGGAGGAAAAGAAAACAACUGUGAUUUCCUUAGUAACGGCGAGUGAAACGGAAAUAGCCCAGCACUAAACUGCCUGUCUUUGAUAGCGCGGAAUGUAGUGUUUGGAGUGAACUCAUCUGAGGGAAGAGACGCGUUCAAGUCCCCCUGACAGGGGCCACAAUCCAUAGAGGGUGAUAGACCCGUAGUGACCGUCUCUUUGCUUGGCUGUUCUACUCUUAGAGUCGAGUUGCUUGGGAGUGCAGCUCAAAGUGCGAGGUAAACUUCUCGUAAGGCUAAAUAUGACCCCGAGACCGAUAGCGAACAAGUACAGUGAUGGAAAGUUGAAAAGAACUUUGAAGAGAGAGUUCAAUAGUACGUGAAACUGUUUAGUGGUAAACGGAGGGGUUCUCGAAGUUUGUGUUGGAGGUUCAACCUACUGGCAGAGGGUUUUGUCAAUUGAGUUCUGCAAAGUCUCUUUUGGCUUAUCACUGAAGUCACUGGGUGCAUUUCUCCAGCACUAUACGCUACGAACUGUUAGAACCGUUGCAGACACUUUAAGUGGAAGGUAACUUCGGUUGCUGGAGCUUUUUGUUGAGUAAUGGGUUUGACAGGGAUUUGAGUGGUCUCCUCAGAGUUCCUUUGAACGGGCCGCAUAUCUGUAGCGAGUAGGUCGGUGGCCCCUCCGACCCGUCUUGAAACACGGACCAAGGAGUCUAACACAUAUGCAAGUCAUUGGGUGCAAAACCCAAAGGCAUAGUGAAAGCAAAGGCUUGUUCGGCAAGCUGAGGGGUGAUACUUUGGUCGCAACCCCGGCCCAUUCAUUUAGCCUCGUCUAAGGAGUGGAGCAAGAGCAUAUUUGUUAGGACCCGAAAGAUGGUGAACUAUGCCUGGUCAGGAUGAAGUCAGGGGAAACCCUGAUGGAAGUCCGUAGAGAUUCUGACGUGCAAAUCGAUCUUCGGAACUGGGUAUAGGGGCGAAAGACUAAUCGAACCAUCUAGUAGCUGGUUCCAACCGAAGUUUCCCUCAGGAUAGCUGGUGCUUUUACGAGUUUCAUCCGGUAAAGCGAAUGAUUAGAAGUCUUGGGGAUGAAAUGUCCUCAACUUAUUCUCAAACUUUAAAUGGGUGAGAAGAUGGACUUGCUUUAUUGAAGUUCGUCUACGAAUCGGAGUGCCUAGUGGGCCAUUUUUGGUAAGCAGAACUGGCGAUGUGGGAUGAACCAAACGUUGGGUUAAAGUGCCAAAGUGGACGCUCAUCAGAUCCCAUGAAAAGUGUUAGUUGCUACAGACAGCAGGACGGUGGCCAUGGAAGUCGGAACCCGCUAAGGAGUGUGUAACAACUCACCUGCCGAAGCAACUAGCCUUGAAAAUGGAUGGCGCUAAAGCGUCCCACUUAUACCCAACCGUUGUGGCAAAGCAGACUCUUGAAGUCCUUAAGCCACAACGAGUAGGUUGGUCGCAGGGGUGGCGCAGAAGCCGACUAGGUGUGAACCUGGGUGGAGCCGCCCCUGGUGCAGAUCUUGGUGGUAGUAGCAAAUACUCCAGAGAGGCCCUGGAGGACCGAAGUGGAGAAGGGUUUCGUGUGAACAGCCGUUGGACACGAGUCAGUCGAUCCUAAGGCUUAGGGGAAGCCUUAAUCAAAUGUUUGGCGAUUUCACAGUGUGAAGAGAAACCAAAUUGCAGCCGAAAGGGAAUCCGGUUCAUAUUCCGGAACCUGGUAGCGGAACCGUUUUUGACCUUGUCAAUCGUGGCAACACGAACAGACUGAGAGACGCCCACCGAAACUCUGGGAAGAGUUUUCUUUUCUGCAUAAGCCACCGAGUCCCUGGAAUUCUUUUGAAGAGAGAAUGGGUUUUGGUUAUUGGCGAAGAAUGAAGCACUUUUUGUUUCAUCCACGAGCGGUCGGUGGGACCUUGAAAAUCUCAGUGGGGUUACGGCGCUUUCGCAUCAGCUCGUACCCAUAUCCGCAGCAGGUCUCCAAGGUUAACAGCCUCUGGUCGAUAGAAUAAUGUAGGUAAGGGAAGUCGGCAAAUUGGAUCCGUAACUUCGGGAUAAGGAUUGGCUCUGAGGGUUGGGGUAUUCGGGCUUAGUGCUGGAAGUGGAUGUGUUCAUUGGUCGGCCUGAGUGAAUGCCUUGUGCGUUAGCUCGGUCCAGCUGGCGAGCCUCUGCGGAUAGCCUUUGCUUUGUGGCAGCAGUUUCGGCUGUCUGCCCUUCGGGUACCAAUCAACAACUAACUCAGAACUGGCACGGACAAGGGGAAUCCGACUGUCUAAUUAAAACAAAGCAUUGCGAUGGUCAGAGAGUGAUGUUGACGCAAUGUGAUUUCUGCCCAGUGCUCUGAAUGUCAAAGUGAAGAGAUUCGACCAAGCGCGGGUAAACGGCGGGAGUAACUAUGACUCUCUUAAGGUAGCCAAAUGCCUCGUCAUCUAAUUAGUGACGCGCAUGAAUGGAUUAACGAGAUUCCCACUGUCCCUAUCUACUAUCUAGCGAAACCGCAGCCAAGGGAACGGACUUGGGAAGAUCAGCGGGGAAAGAAGACCCUGUUGAGUUUGACUCUAGUCUCAUUUUGUGGCGGAGCAUAUUGGGCGUAGAAUAGGGAGGAGCUUCGGCAACAGUGAAAUACUCCUACUAGUAUCGCUCCUCUGCUUACUCGGUGAGGUGAAGUUCGGGCUUCGGCUUGAUUUCUAGACUCAAGUAGAGGAAUUCAUUCCUUUACGAUUCACUCCGAGAACAUUGUGAGGCGGGGAGUUUGACUGGGGCGGUACAUCUUUCAAAUGAUAACGAAGGUGUCCUAAGGCCAGCUCAGUGAGGACAGAAACCUCACGUAGAGCAAAAGGGCAAAUGCUGGCUUGAGUUCUCCAUCCAGUACGUGGCGAACAGCAGAAAUGUCGGCCUAUCGAUCCUCUUUAUUUCGAAGUUUGAAGAAAGAGGUGUCAGAAAAAUUACCACAGGGAUAACUGGCUUGUGGCGGCCAAGCGUUCAUAGCGACGUCGCUUUUUGAUCCUUCGAUGUCGGCUCUUCCUAUCAUUGCGAAGCAGAAUUCGCCAAGCGUCGGAUUGUUCACCCGCCAAUAGGGAACGUGAG
rnacentral:rRNA from 1 species